UUACCUGAGAUGAUGUGUGUUGUUGAAUUAUCUUUUUUUCCCUCUUGAAUCCCAAAGUAAGAGUGAGUUCAGGGGACUGGCAAGUGUUCAGAAAAAUGUAUAAGGAGAAAGUGUCUUCAGGUCCUCAACAUUCAGCUCUGCUGUUUAGUUUCAUUUCAUCAACAGGCUCCUCCCAACACCAUAUUGAAAGACUUUGAGCUUUCUUCUCCAUCUCUUAAAGGAGCAGAUCUUCCUACACUGAGUGUACAAGACAUUAAGAACAUUCUGUUGGAUUCUAGCUUGAAAUAUACUUAUUCAUGUUACCAUACUAGAACUUAUUGAUGACUUUACACGUGUAAGGAAUGUGUAUGUUAGGGGUCAAGGAAGGGUGAAGAGGAACUAGGUAUGUGGAAAGUUACUGAGUGAUGUGGAAAGUUACUGAGUGAGAAAAGGGGAAGUGCAUAAAGUUCAUAUUCUGUUCGUAUAUGUUACUGUUGAAUAUGAAUGUUCCUAAGGAGGGAGGCAAAGAGCAACAGUCAUUAAACAUGUCUGUUUAAUCCUUCGUUAUUACCUGCAUAGUGUAUGGAGAAAUUGGCAUGCUUGUGUACUAUUACGAUAGAUUGUAGAAAAGUAGUCCAUGUAGAAGAACAAAGGCAGGAAGUGCAUUCGGUGGAGAAUAGGAGGUAUCCGAGGAUAUCUGUGCUUCAAGAUGAAACAUUGUCAGUGAGAGGGAAUGUGGAUGGUGAUAGAAGGUUGCCUGUAGCCUCAUCCAUGGUUGGAAAAGCAAAAGGAUAUUAGAACGUUGUUUUAAAGUGAUUUGUGUGUAUUAGCAGUAACAAUAAGGAGAGGUGUUGGUUUGGAGGUGUUGGUCUUACUGGGGCGGGGAACCGUGACAGAUUAUGUUGAAAUAGGAGGACAACUGAGUAAAUUUGGUAACGUGUGUUGUCAACAACAGUGAUAUUUGAGGCGUGACACUGGUAUAAGGCAUUAGGUCUCCUGUAUUCUCCAGUAGUAAAUUGUCAGAUGCUUCAGUAUCGUUUUUUAAAACAAGGUAUCAGGUUCGGUGUCCAAAUUAUUAAGCACCUAUACUGUAAGUAUUCUCCGGGAAGUGGGUAUCACUACCUGGAAAAAUAGUUUAAAUUGUUGUGUAUUAGAGCCGUGGGUGAGGAAAUCUAAACACCCUAGACACCGUCGGGAGAAGCGUCUGUUACAUCUGCUCCUGCCAUGCCCUCUACUGCUCAUCCUGUGUCUCCUUGACCUGCCGCCACUCCCCCAGUGCUCUCUCCCUCUCCUUCUCCCUCUCCCUCUCCCUCUGUGUGUGUGAUUGUGUGGGAGGAGACAGGUGUGCUGGCGUCAGAGCAGAUCCCCACCAGCUGCAACCUGUUCCAUAAUCAAGACCUCUACAAAUACUCAGUCCUGCCACUUCCACUGCCAGAUCGUAAUUUCUGCUCAGCCAGUCUACGUUUGUAGCUGUUUGUCACUAUUUAGAUCCUGUUAUCCUGUUGUGCCUGUUUUCCUUGCCUGACACGGUUUUCCGCUCUGCUACAGUUCUGCCCGCUCUGACUCAGGUUCCUGUCUCCAAUCUUCAUGUCUCCUCAUCCUGCUACUCUACCCUGGAUUACCCACUCUACUGCUCCCCUGGAUUCCCCUCAGGACCUGCUUACCCUGUCCCAACACCUCUCGCUCCAGCCUCAGCCUCCACACCUGGUUUCCUGCAACCCGCCCGAGCUUCCCCUGGCCUGCACUCCAUCUUCCCCCUGUGUUUCAAUAAAUAUCUUGGUUACUUGAUCCUAGUCUCCUCAUCUGAGUCUGCUCUUGGGUUUCCCUGUUCCACUCCGCAUAACAGCGUCAGAAUAAUAACUAUUGAAAUGGCGACCGACGGCCCCGAUCCUCCCUUUAAAGGGGGGGCUAGCGGAAAAAAAGUUUAACAAAGCCAUAGAGGAGCUGAAAGAGACGCAUGAGCAAUCUACCAAUUUGGCUUGAAUAUGGGGCAUUUUUUGCCAAAUUUAUCAAAUUGGUCAGCUUCCCCGUUGACGGAAAAUUUAAAUCUAAUAAAGAAUUCUGAGAUGCUAUUGUGAGUUGGCACAAUGACAUAAAAUACAAAAUAAAAAUCUCAAUAAACUGGCGUUUUGAUGUUAGCGUUCUAUCAACAGAAAAGCAAAACCGAUAGAAACAAAACUAGCAGAUGUACUCAGCAUCAAAAGGACUGGGUACAUGAGUACAUUGAUAGGAUGGAAGAUGUAUUGGGCAGUAAUCUGGCACUAGCAGAUCAUUUGAAGAUGCGGGAAUAUGUACCUCCGCUUUGCUGGCAGGGUUGAAACCCACCAUCAAAACGGCUAUUGCAGGGUUAUGGCAAUAGCGACCCCAGACCGUAUCUAGAUGCAUGGAAGGGAUUAUUCGACCGAGAACAGUGUGAGCCUUACCCCCUCUAACCGGCAGAAGAAAUUGCGACAAUGGUGUUCACUAUGACCCUGUCCUCCACCACUUCUACCUGAGACAUGAGUCCGAGCCAGCAAACGGUGUACAGCAUCCAGUCGAAGCUAUCAAUGCCUUUUCUCUCUGGAGCGCAGCAUGAGUCCUGAGACCAUCCACGUGGAGUGAGCAUGGAGAGAGAUCAUGUCAAAACUUAUCUCAUGUUGCUGGUUGGAAAAUGGACAAGACAGAAAUGGACAAUACAGAAAUGGACCGUAAAGGUUGGUGGUGAGAAAUUUGUGUGCUUUGUCUGCUUGGGAAAAUCAGAUUAUUCCCCAGAUAUUGAAAUCGGGGACAUUAUCAAGGGCCAUCCACUUUGACAGGCAUGAGUUACAUGUGUGCCAUUGGGAGGAUGAACUGUAAAGCUAUCCAAAGAAGAAAAUGAAGAGACGCCAGACGAAUGAGAGCCGGGAUGGAGGGGAGUGAUCACUGUUCCAGAUGAGGGACUGUUGGAAACUGACUAAUUGACUUGAGCACGUUUUAGUAUGUUUAUAACUAUAUAAGUGGCAUAGCAGUAGUGAUCAACGUGUUAUGGGUUAGAUGGAUUGAUCUAUGUGCAAAUGUAUUUGUGGCCGGAGGAAAGUACAAAGGGGGCCUGUCUCUGAGACAGAAUGUUUCCAUACGGGUGAGAUAGGAGUCAUAUGAUAGAGCUAAUACUAUAGAUUGUGAACUAUUGCUUUUAACAGGUCUUAUAGCUUCCCUGUUUUAAAUUAUUGUAUUCUCUCUAUGUUUUGCAUCAUGAUAUUCACUUGAGUAUGAAUGGGUUGCUUAUUCUCAAAUAACUCUUUGUGUAUGAGUCCGGAAAACUUACAGUGGACUGAGGCUAGGUGCAAGAAUGUAUACUCCCUACUGAUAAGAAGACCGGGAGAUGUGUGAGGAGUUCAGGACUCGGGAUGGGACGAACACCACCUGCCUAGCCACAGAGAUUCAUUGUAGAUACUAGACUCAGGAGGGGGAAGAGUUUGUAUUAGUAUUAUAUUAGUCGACUGCACAUAGCACGCAAAUAGAGGGCGAAGUGAGGAUGACAUCGCGUGGGAACACCUCCUGAAAACCUGCAGCCUGACGGUGAAAGUCUGCCUAUAAGCAUGAGGAGGUGUAUAGAGCCUUCAUUUUUGUGGACGCCAGCAGAAUAGUAUCCCAAAGGUCUAGAGUCAGGCUAAGGGAGAGUGGAAAUCAUCAUGUUAUCAAACUUUGGUUAUUGCCAUAAAUUAUUAUGCAUAUCUUAA